GGUGGUAUAUGUGGCCACAGACCUGAGCAGCCACGGGUCUGUAGAGGGAACAGGGGCUGGCGUUUGCCUGCCCAGCGGCCUCAUCACAGUCCAUAGUCGGGGAAGAAGGUCACCAGGUGAGCAGAGAUGGGAGGGAAAAUCUUCUAAGCCCCUUAGCACACCCAGAGCACUCUCAUAUACAAACCACUCAAGGUCCCAGCAGCUACACACGCCCACUCCUGCAGACCCUGAGCACAGCCCACACGAUAGGCAUCCACACCAGAAAGACACACAUAGAUGCCCAGUAAGCACACACGCCAGGAAUGAACAUCACAUACCACAUGACACAUCGCACAGCCAUAAAUAUACACAUUCACAUACACAGACUCACACAUCUAUCCAAAGUGCACACACACGAAGGCCUGCCAUGCCAGGCACGCACACACACACACCCAUGAAUCACACACACACACACACACACACACACGCUCACAAUGCAACUAUCCAAAUGCAUGCCCAACACAUGGCUCUCCCAGGGCAUUCUGCACCAAAUGGGCUCUAUCCAGGGGGCAGGUCCUGGUCUUCAGACAACCUCCAGGAGUGAGGAGCUUGAUCUUGUGGAGUUGAGGGACAGGUGGGUAUGUAGGUGGAAGGCCACACCUCUGUGAAUCCCUCUAUACCUGGGCUCUAUACAGAGUCUUAGGUCCCAGGAGAACCGUCCUGGAUUCUGUCCAUAGGGAGAAAAAGGUAGGGGUGGACUCACCUGCAGGCUUGAAACCUCUAGGCAUGGAAGGUUCUGAGACCAAGCUUCUGGGGCUGGAGUGAGGGACAGGACCAGAACAGAGACGGAGAUGGCCCUUGGCAUGUGCAAGGCACUUUGCAGUUUGACAGCUUCUUUUAAACUUGGUGACUAUUUCACACACUUGGUAAGAGCUACUCUGAGACAUUGGUGGUAAUGUUCCAUCUCCUAGACCUGGAGAGGAGUGGGGACUUCAAGACCACACAGCAGGUUACUAACUGGGCUAGUCCUCGAACCAGAGGAGGUGCGUGUGGCCUGUCUUCCACUUGUCUGCACAGUUCUCUGUCCGGAAUAUCAGCCACCUGGGACAGAGCCUGGCUUUGCCCACUUCACCCAGUGAUACUGGGAUGCUGCCUAGCUCUCCGUCUCCCCACCUUGAUAGCAGGGAAGGAAUCCCCAGGAGGGUAUCUAGCCGCAGCUGAUGGCCACACUGAGGCUGGGAUGAGUGGAAGAGGAGUUUGCUGGAUGCCCGCGCAAGGACGAAAGGCCGCGGCGUGGCUCCCCUCCUCAUUUGGCCAGCCGCGAUCUCUCUCCUGCCUCGCUCCGUGGCUCGGCUCCAGAAAUCCCGGCUCCGGGUCUUGGUUCGCGCCUCGUCACUCCGGAGACGCCCGGAGCGGCUUGCGGUUGCCGUGGGAACCUCGCCCGGGCCAGGCCCGGCUCACGACUCAGCCACCAGACUAGAGCAGCGCGCGGACCACAGCGUUUAGGGUUUCGGGAAAACGACACCUGUCCUUAGAGUAACUCUCCAAGAGUAGCGAGCACACACCUCAGAAGCACAGCGCGGUGAUGUGCGGAAACCCGCGUCACCCCCCCACCCCCACCCCGCACAGUCAAUCCCGAGCACUUCUAGCGGCUGAAUUCUACCGCGCCAGGAAGGCGCUACUGAACCGGAAUCCGCCCUCGGAGGCUGCACGGGGUCUGUUUUUGCAAGCCCUCCUUGGGUCUCGGGUUCCUGCGAAGGGGAUCAAACAGCUGACAAGUGAUUCUUUACGUGUUCCUUCGAAACGCUUUGCUUAACUUUGGCCCUGUGACUAUCCCAGUAAAAAUAUACACACAGACUAUGGACGGGAGAGAAACAGUGGUUUAAACGGAGCAGCUUCUCAGUUCGGCUGCUGAGACUCUAAACUCCUCUGCCUAACCUGAAGAUCAUCUGUUCCAACUCAGAGCCGCGCAGAGGCUCUGGGACAGUGCGCCAUCGCCUCCCUCCUUGUUCGUAGGCCUUUCCUUACUCCGGCUCUUGGCUCUGGAGGCAAACUCCUACUACUCAAAACUCACUUGCCUUGACACUUUUCCUUAAUUACAAUCCUGCAUGCAACUUCCUCAAACAAGAUUUCUUAUGCUACCCGCUGGGUCUUACAGUGUUGUGACCAGUCCCUCCUUCCCCACUGGGCACCCAAAGAAAUCUUGUAAAACUU
rnacentral:lncRNA from 1 species